rnacentral:lncRNA from 1 species
CACAUGUGUCCAGGCCCUGUCAGGAACAGCACGUCACAGGCUGUGGAGGACUUAGGAACUGUGUAGUGAGUGUCACCAAAAAGUCUCUUCCUGGUGACAGGCAAACCUUGCAGAGGUCCUGUGUGAGAAAGUCCAUUUUUAAAUAUAAAGAGCUGUAAGUUAGAAGCCUGAAUGUCAGGCCCUUUCCAGCCUGAGAAACAGUCUCCGUUUUCCUGGGACCUGGGUGGUGUGCACGUAUGUGCAGUCAGCAGACAUGGUUCACUACAGAGAGCCUUGGGCAGGUAGGCUUGCUGCCCUUCCUUGGAUGCCCAGCUCUGGAAUACACACGGCUGGAGGCACAGCAGUGCUGGGUGUGGAGUAUGGAGAACUCCUGUCUUCCACGAGUUCUGUGCUGGUGACGUGUGACCUCUGCCCCAGCUGCUGACUUUUUACAGUGGCUCUGAAGAAGGUGAAAGUCUCCACCUACUGCCCCAGAGAACAGCCACAUGGGCCUCCUUAGUCCACAUUGCUUUUGCAAUGGAAAUGUGGUUCCAUUUGCCUCAUCUUCUUGAAUACUGCCUGCCUAGCCCUUGGGCAGCAGCUCCAGCAGUCUGUGGGUCCCUUGGAACUUGUGUAUUUGAGCAGUGGGACCCCAACUCAGCCACCAAAGAGGGGAAGGCAGAUGCCAAGCUGGAGUCCAGUUGGCCCAUCACUGGUGUAAGGACAGCAAACUGGUGACUGAAGAGCAGCCUACUGUCAGCAGGAGAGAGCUGCUGUCCUACUGUCAGCAGGAGAGACCUGCUGUCAAUGCACGAGCAGAACCUAGGCCAGCGCGGCAGAUAAAGGUCUUUCUCGGGUGUUUUACAAGACUGGACUCUUCUGUCUUCUAAGCUGUACGUCGGAAAAGCUUUGAGCUCAGUCCGUACCCAAGCCUGUGAUGUGAGUUCUGGGCCUGUGUGUUGUACUGGCCCAUGCUGACCACAGGAGAGGCCUCAGCCUUGUCCCUGAGCACUGAUGGUUAGGGCUGGGAUGAGGGGCAGACAGAUGCCAAAUGAGGGGAAAGAGCUCUGUGUCCUGGGGACAGGAGGGUGGGCCUUUACAUUUCUUGUGCCUGGGAACCUGAGCUGACAGGACGGAGCACUAAGGCCCACUUAGCGUGCGCUCGUUGGGAACAGCAGUGCCUUUCGGAGCUGGAAAGUCGGCCAGUGGUGGAGAUGACACUGGUUUGCUCCAGUCAGCCUCUCCCAUCCCAGCUUUGUUCUGGGUCCUGUGUGUCCCAGCAGAUGACACUCAGAAGGGAUUGGGAGUAAAUGACUUAGGGCUGAGGGGGUCAAAGGCAGGUUCACAGUUUUGUUGCUGUGGAAACCUUGGGGGCACUGAGAACUACGCUAAAAACUACGGACCUCAAACUUACUCAGUCUAACUGGGCCUCUAGAGAAGAGGGGAGUGGUGAGUUCUUUGCGGACCGAUGGUGUUGUUGAGGAAAUCAUUCCAUGAGCAAGUUUACAUCGUCUCCAAACGGUGAGGCUGGCCGUGGUUUCCCUGAGCAAGGCUGCUGGUGCUUGUUUCCACCAUGGCCAAGACAGCCAGCCCCAGGAGAUGUGUGAACUGGAUUGCAAACUAGAACUGCUCAACAUGCACUGUGGCUAGAAAUAAAGUCUGCUUUGGAAGCAGUUGUGGUUUGUGU